AGGAUGAACGCUGGCGGCGUGCCUAACACAUGCAAGUCGAACGUCCUGUCUCGCAAGAGGCAGGGAGUGGCGGACGGGUGAGUACCACGUGGGUCAUCUACCGUGAGGUGAGGAAUACCGGCGAGAAAUCGCCGACAAGACCGCAUAGGCUCGAUGCAAGUCGAGCAAAGCUCUUUCGAGAGAGGGAGCGCCACACGAGGAGCCUGCGCCCGAUUAGCUAGCUGGUGGAGUAACGGUUCACCAGGGCGACGAUCGGUAGCUGGUCUGAGAGGACGAUCAGCCACACUGGGAUUGAGAACGGCCCAGACUCCUACGGGGGGCAGCAGUGAGGAAUUUCGUCAAUGGGGGCAACCCUGAACGAGCAACGCCGCGUGCAGGAGAAGGUUUCGGAUCGUAAACUGCUUUUCUCGGGAAGAGAAUGGACGGUACCCGAGGAAUCAGCCCCGGCUAACUACGUGCCAGCAGCCGCGGU
rnacentral:rRNA from 1 species